AGAAAAGAAGAAAAUACACACAAACAACAACAAAACAACAGUUCUCUUAUUUCUUCAUCACUCGAAUUGUUCAUUCUUUUUUCUCUAUUG
rnacentral:ribozyme from 14 species